GGAUUAGAGUAGUUGAAAAUCUGGGUACAAACUGUUUUCAUCCUUUAUAUUCUAAAGACGGCCUCCUGAAGUCUGUAUAAGGUUCAGAGAUUCACUGCUUUAGUGAACACCAUCUCAGUCAAGAUCCUGAUGAAUAUUUCACACAGUCUCCUGAUCUUCUCUUCUGAGUUUCCUUCAGGUGUAACUGGAUAUUGCAGGCCAUCACCAAUCUCUCUGACUGACUCCCUCACAAGUGUGCUGACUACUAAACUAGGGAGCUGAUUGAGACACAACCAGAGAUUUAGUUUUUUUAUUAUUAUUAUUGUCACCUCAACAGGACAAAGUGUCUAAACGCACAGAAAAACCCCUGCUGAAGCGGCUGAGAUUCACGUGACACACGAUUAUAAAGAUGGCGUUUAUUAAAGAGGGGAGUGAAGAAGUGAAGAUUAAAGAAACAUUCAGAGUUAAAGAAGAAGAUACUGAGGAACAAACAGACUUGAUGGUGCUGAAAGAGGAGAGUCAAAAACUAAAAGAAAUGGAGGAGAAAAAUCAACAUGAUUUUAUAACUUUAAAAAAAUCUUUUAGUGGCUCACAGACUGAAAUAACUUCAAGAAAAAAGGAUCAAAAGACGGGAAGGAGUAGUUCUUGCACCUGCCAACUGUGUGGAAAGUGUUACAGUAAAACAGAUUUUAAAAUACACAUGAGAGUUCACACUGGAGAGAAGCCUUAUGCCUGCCAACAGUGCGGAAAGUGUUUCAAUAAAAAAGAAACUCUUAGAAACCACAUUAGAGUUCACACUGGAGAAAAGCCUUAUGCCUGCCAACACUGUGGAAAGGGUUUCAGUCAAACAUCAGCUCUUUUAAAACAUA